UUGAGCAUCAGUUGAUUGUUCCAACAGAAGUCCUGACGAAAUAUCCAGUUCUUGGUCCCAAUGGGCAGGUGAGUGAGUCCAUCAUUUCAGUCGAUAAGAACGAAAAGCGAUGGGAAUUUCGCCUUGCCAUACGCAAGAACGAUAAUCAUCCUAAACCAACAAUUCCCCCAGCCUCGUGGCAUCCAUUUGUAGAAGAGUAUGGCCUUCGUGCUGGUGAUGCCGUCCUAUUCUACACGAGGCUAGACGAUGCACCUGAUAGGAUACAGGUUAGAGGCUUGAGAAAAGCCAUCUUAUUUAGGGGUAAGGAGUUUUGGGUUGAAGUGGAAAAGGUUCACAACCAGGCUUAAACCUCUCAACCAAGGGCCAUGCCCCAAUGGCGGGAACCCGUGCUAGCUUCACUCUUGAGGCCUUUAAAACCGUUCCUAGCACCCAAGAGAUGAUAUCUAUCCUCUUUAUCUUAGUUUAGUUCGCUGUUUGGCUAUGCAUGCAUGGUAUGAUAUGUAUUAUUUUCUUUUCUUAGCAGUGGGAGAGAGACCAUAAUCAGUGUGAUUUGAUCCAUGGCCUAUUCACUUUUCUUUUUUCGCUUUUCAUAGAAGGGGAGGGGAAUCCGACUGGGUUUUUACCAAAGUUGAGAAGUGUACCUGUGCCACUAUAGUCUAGCUAUAGAUAGACUAAGUAAGCAGGUGCUCCUAGCCCUGUCACUUUAAAACCUGUGUUUGGUUGUUCAUGCUAUGGUGUGGAAGAUAGAUUUAUCUAGUAUGUUUUGAUAUGGAUGAUUGUAUCUUGUAAUUGUGUUAAUGAAAUUGCAUCUUGUGAUUGUGUUUUUG
rnacentral:misc_RNA from 1 species